UGCCAGCCGCCGCGGUGAUACGUAGGGAGCGAGCGUUAUCCGGAAUUAUUGGGCGUAAAGCGUGCGUAGGCGGUUCGUUAAGUCUGAUGUGAAAGCCCGGGGCUCAACCCCGGAAGUGCAUUGGAAACUGGCGAACUUGAGUACGGGAGAGGAAAGUGGAAUUCCGAGUGUAGGGGUGAAAUCCGUAGAUAUUCGGAGGAACACCAGUGGCGAAGGCGGCUUUCUGGACCGUUCCUGGCACUGAGGUGCGAAAGCUAGGGGAGCAAACAGGAUUAGAUA
rnacentral:rRNA from 1 species